rnacentral:rRNA from 1 species
AUUGAACGCUGGCGGCAGGCCUAACACAUGCAAGUCGAACGAGUGGCGGACGGGUGAGUAAUGUCUGGGUAACUGCCCGAUGGAGGGGGAUAACUACUGGAAACGGUAGCUAAUACCGCAUCCCAUCGGAUGUGCCCAGAUGGGAUUAGCUAGUAGGUGGGGUAACGGCUCACCUAGGCGACGAGCCCUAGCUGGUCUGAGAGGAUGACCAGCCACACUGGAACUGAGACACGGUCCAGACUCCUACGGGAGGCAGAAGUGGGGAAUAUUGGACAAUGGGCGCAAGCCUGAUGCAGCCAUGCCGCGUGUAUGAAGAAGGCCUUCGGGUUGUAAAGUACUUUCAGCGAGGAGGCGUUACUCGCAGAAGAAGCCCCGGCUAACUCCGUGCCAGCAGCCGCGGUAAUUC